GAGGAACGCUGGCGGCGUGCCUAAUACAUGCAAGUCGAGCGAACAGACGAGGAGCUUGCUCCUCUGACGUUAGCGGCGGACGGGUGAGUAACACGUGGAUAACCUACCUAUAAGACUGGGAUAACUUCGGGAAACCGGAGCUAAUACCGGAUAAUAUAUUGAACCGCAUGGUUCAAUAGUGAAAGACGGUUUUGCUGUCACUUAUAGAUGGAUCCGCGCCGCAUUAGCUAGUUGGUAAGGUAACGGCUUACCAAGGCGACGAUGCGUAGCCGACCUGAGAGGGUGAUCGGCCACACUGGAACUGAGACACGGUCCAGACUCCUACGGGAGGCAGCAGUAGGGAAUCUUCCGCAAUGGGCGAAAGCCUGACGGAGCAACGCCGCGUGAGUGAUGAAGGUCUUCGGAUCGUAAAACUCUGUUAUUAGGGAAGAACAAAUGUGUAAGUAACUAUGCACGUCUUGACGGUACCUAAUCAGAAAGCCCCGGCUCCCUACGUG
rnacentral:rRNA from 1 species